rnacentral:lncRNA from 1 species
AAGUGCGCCCCGGGGUGGGGUUGCAAUCCGCCCCGUGACGGCAUAAUAAAUAAUUAGAGGGUUUAAGCGUGUUAGCCACAGCUCAUGCUAAUGAGCCAGAUAAGGGCUCACGCUAACCCGAAGUGACAGUUUGCAUAUAGGAGGGAAGAAGAAAAAAUCCUGCUUCCCCCCCCACGCACAAACUUGAUUGCUCCUUCUCAAAUUCAUGUCCCCAAAUCCCUUCCCCCAUUCCUCGGACUUCCCUCUUCUCACAUGCCCCCACUUCAGCCACAACACACACACUAUCCGUUUUUGACCCUUCCUUUGCCUUUCACCGGGUCAGACGGCAUUGUGACGUCACAAAACCCCUGGGUGCCUAUAUCUGACCUGCGCGGAAAGUUCAUUCUGAGUGCGUCCUGGCGAGUCUCAGCCCCCAAGCGGGUGGAACGCACCAAGGGUCUCAUCCGCGAGGAAGGGCUUUAACGCUCAGGGUCAGGAACCUCUGAGAGCUCUUGGGGACUUGCGCGCCCUUGGAUGCUCUUGCGUUCAACAGGGCUAGGAGACUACCGGCUGGGGCGAGGAAUGCAGGCGCCUAGAGCCUUGGAGCUCCUGAAACGUUCCUGCCGCCUCCGGAAAGCAAGGGCAGUUUACCGAAGUGACUGAGGCCAAGUAUUUGCAGCACGGGCAGGGACCAGUAACUGAUUUUCAGGCCUUUUGAGAGGAAGAGGAAGAGAGAGGAAGAGAAGGAUUUCUAAUAGUAGAUAUUCACUCUCAUGGACUCUUUAGGAAACAGCAACAAAGACAAGAUUAAGUGCAAUGAAAAGGCAAGUCACUUAAAGAGACAGAUCCCAGAAAAUCCUGAAACUUUCUACCUCUGUGACCUCUGGCAAGUUGCUCAUCGUCUCUCAGGCUCUAUAAAAUGAGAGGGUUGAGUAAGAUGCCUCCCCUCUGAUUCUGACUAAAUAGAGAAUACAGGCGUGGACCACAUGAUCCUCUAGUGGCAACCAUUCCUCUCUUUGAAUAGACGAACUUGGUUUGCUGUUCUUCUCCCACUGCCCUCCUGCCAUAAGAACCUUCAUUAGGCAAAUGAUGUCAUCAGUGAGACCAGUCCUUGCUGGUGCCAGGAUUAUGGCUCUUGGUAGCCAGAAGGCAAUGUCAUUGGGUCAGCAUGACUUUAGCCCUGGGGACUAGGGCAAGAGAUCGGCCAUUGGCACCUCAGGAUGCACAUGCAAACGGAUGAAACUCACCAUUGUCGCCGACAGCAUUGCUUGGGAAAUAGGAUUCUCCUCUACUCCUGGGCAGUUUUGGGUCUAGGAAUUGGGACCCCGAGAAGCUGUAAUUUCUGCGAGUUGUGUGGGUCGUUCGCCACCUGCCGGUUAUUUCGCAAACUGCAGCUGGGACUGCGAACAUUUGCAACUUGAUUCAUUCAGGACUACUUGAUUCUAUUCCAUUAAUUCUUCUCCAUACAAUUUGGUUCAACCAUAGAGCAUCGUGAGGACUUAAUGACGUUCUCCCCUGAUACUCCCAUUAGAGAUAACUGAGAUGUUUGUUAAUAUUCAGAUUCUGAAGCUUUAUCCCAGACCCACCAAAUCAGAAUCUGGCAAAUUGGCUCUUUUAGCAAGCUACCUGGAAGUCCUUUUGUAUACUAAAGAUAAAGAACUAUUUCUCUAGAGGUA